AACGUAGGUUCCGAGCGUUAUCCGGAUUUACUGGGCGUAAAGCGCGUUCAGGCGGUUUGGCAAGUCGGGCAUGAAAUCUCUCGGCUCAACCGGGAGAGGUUGUCCGAUACUUCCAGACUUGAGGGCAGUAGAGGGUGGUGGAAUUCCGGGUGUAGUGGUGAAAUGCGUAGAUAUCCGGAGGAACACCAGUGGCGAAAGCGGCCACCUGGACUGUACCUGACGCUAAAGCGCGAAAGCUAGGGGAGCGAACGGG
rnacentral:rRNA from 1 species